rnacentral:tRNA from 1 species
GGAAAGAUGCCGGAGUGGCCGAUCGGGGCGGUCUCGAAAACCGUUGUUCCCUUUUCGGGAACCCAGGGUUCGAAUCCCUGUCUUUCCG